rnacentral:rRNA from 1 species
UACAGGAAGAAACGUACCCUCGUGAGGGUGCCUGACGGUACUGUAGGAAUAAGCACCGGCUAACUCCGUGCCAGCAGCCGCGGUAAUACGGAGGGUGCGAGCGUUAUCCGGAUUUAUUGGGUUUAAAGGGUCCGUAGGCGGAUUAAUAAGUCAGUGGUGAAAUCCCAUCGCUUAACGAUGGAACUGCCAUUGAUACUGUUAGUCUUGAAUGAGGGUGCAGUGGUUGGAAUGUGUAGUGUAGCGGUGAAAUGCAUAGAUAUUACACAGAACACCGAUUGCGAAGGCAGAUCACUAACCCUAAAUUGGCGCUGAGGGACGAAAGCGUGGGGAGCGAACAGGAUUAGAUACCCUGGUAG